ensembl:antisense Dlx1as distal-less homeobox 1, antisense
AAAGGCAUGAGGCUGUGCGCAGAAACAUUUCAUGCAGCAUGUUGGUUGGAGCAAAAGAGAAAAACAAAAGAAAGAGGAAAAAAACAAAACAAAAAACAACAGUCCAAAAUUCGUAAACCAAUAAAGGGUUUGCCAUCGCCUGAAAGGUUUUUUGUUUUGUUUUUGUUUUUUCCUUAAUCGCCAAACCACAAGGUGAGGCUUUGUAACACCAACCAACUAAGAACUCCAACUCGCCUCGUCCUGGUCUUCCUGUCGUACUCGCGAUUUUAAUAGCUCCUUCUUAGUGCCUGUUUUGGGGUGUGGAGUGCCGUCCUGUGCGCCCAACGCAGCCGCUUGGAUGCCAUCUGAACCGAAGGUCUCUUCGCCUUGCGGGCCUUGCCCAUAUUUUUUUUUCCUGAAUAAGAAAAGGCGAAACAAUAGAUGCCCAGAAAUACUGCUGUAAUUCACCAGAACAAACAUCCGUCAGAAUCGGGGCCAGCCUUCUCGCCAGCAGCAGACAUAAACUAUCUAAAUAAUGAAAUGCAUUAGGUAUUUGAAGGCGAACUCAGAGAAAAAGGCAGCAUCUUUUCAAGGUGACUGAGCUUUCCAUGCUUUGGGCAAGCGGGAUGAAUUCAAAGGCUCGGGCGCAGAUUAAUGAGAACAGCACUUUAAAAAGGACUGGCCGAUCAUCUUUAACAAAAUGUGUUACUUUUAAAUGAAA